rnacentral:rRNA from 1 species
CUUCCGUAGGUGAACCUGCGGAGGGAUCAUUACUGAGUUUACGCUCUACAACCCUUUGUGAACAUACCUAUAACUGUUGCUUCGGCGGGUAGGGUCUCCGCGACCCUCCCGGCCUCCCGCCUCCGGGCGGGUCGGCGCCCGCCGGAGGAUAACCAAACUCUGAUUUAACGACGUUUCUUCUGAGUGGUACAAGCAAAUAAUCAAAACUUUUAACAACGGAUCUCUUGGUUCUGGCAUCGAUGAAGAACGCAGCGAAAUGCGAUAAGUAAUGUGAAUUGCAGAAUUCAGUGAAUCAUCGAAUCUUUGAACGCACAUUGCGCCCGCCAGCAUUCUGGCGGGCAUGCCUGUUCGAGCGUCAUUUCAACCCUCAAGCUCUGCUUGGUGUUGGGGCCCUACAGCUGAUGUAGGCCCUCAAAGGUAGUGGCGGACCCUCUCGGAGCCUCCUUUGCGUAGUAACUUUACGUCUCGCACUGGGAUCCGGAGGGACUCUUGCCGUAAAACCCCCAAUUUUCCAAAGGUUGACCUCGGAUCAGGUAGGAAU